rnacentral:rRNA from 1 species
GACGAACGCUGGCGGCGUGCUUAACACAUGCAAGUCGAGCGGUAAGGCCCUUUUGGGGGUACGACGAGCGGCGAACGGGUGAGUAACACGUGGGUGACCUGCCCUCAGCUCUGGGAUAAGCCUGGGAAACUGGGUCUAAUACUGGAUAUGACCUUUCCUCGCAUGGGGUUGGGUGGAAAGUUUUCGGCUGGGGAUGGGCCCGCGGCCUAUCAGCUUGUUGGUGGGGUGAUGGCCUACCAAGGCGACGACGGGUAGCCGGCCUGAGAGGGCGACCGGCCACACUGGGACUGAGACACGGCCCAGACUCCUACGGGAGGCAGCAGUGGGGAAUAUUGCGCAAUGGGCGGAAGCCUGACGCAGCGACGCCGCGUGGGGAUGACGCCU